CUUCUUCUUAUUAUUAUUCCCUUCUCCCUGCGGCGGCGGCGAGGGAGAGAAGGGAGGAGGAGCGCCUGGCCUUCCUCCACACCGAGUGAAAUCAUGGAGAAGAAAAGUAAUGUUAACUUACAGUGGAUAUUUGAAAAUAUUAAAGGUGAAGAAGAUGCAGUUGCUUUUUUUCAAGAACAUGAUGUUAUUUCAAGUAAAAAACAGUGCAGAAAAAAGCAUGAUAUGGAACUGAAGAAAAGAAAUGACAGUUUUAGUUGGAGAUGCAGCAAGAAAAUGUGUGAGCAGGUCAUUUCCAUUAGGAAAGAUACUUGGCUAGAGGGUAGUGUACUACCACUCAAGAAAAUAAUAUUGAUCAUAUAUUCCUGGAGUAAACAGUAUACUACUAUUAAAUUUGCCAAGGAAGAACUAGAGAUCAACCAUAAUACCAUGGUGGAUUUCAAUAACUAUCUAAGAGAGGUGUGUGCUGAUGACAUCUUGAAGCAUCCACAAAAAGUUGGUGGUCAAGGUUUGACUGUAGAGAUAGAUGAAACUCUUUAUGCUAGAAGGAAGUAUAACAGAGGGAGACAACUUCCAGAACAGUGCGAGUUCAUCUGGAGACGGCGCCACUCAGGAAAGGAUUAUUUUGCUGAAAUACUGAAAAAUAUUGCUAAUUUUCAGAAAAAUUAAAAGGAUGACUUCUUUGUUUGUUUUUUUAUAUGUAAUGAACUAGUUCUGUAUUAAUAAAUUGUAU